rnacentral:rRNA from 1 species
UGGGGAAUUUUGGACAAUGGGCGAAAGCCUGAUCCAGCAAUGCCGCGUGUGUGAAGAAGGCCUUCGGGUUGUAAAGCACUUUUGUCCGGAAAGAAAUCCUUGGCUCUAAUACAGUCGGGGGAUGACGGUACCGGAAGAAUAAGCACCGGCUAACUACGUGCCAGCAGCCGCGGUAAUACGUAGGGUGCAAGCGUUAAUCGGAAUUACUGGGCGUAAAGCGUGCGCAGGCGGUUUGCUAAGACCGAUGUGAAAUCCCCGGGCUCAACCUGGGAACUGCAUUGGUGACUGGCAGGCUAGAGUAUGGCAGAGGGGGGUAGAAUUCCACGUGUAGCAGUGAAAUGCGUAGAGAUGUGGAGGAAUACCGAUGGCGAAGGCAGCCCCCUGGGCCAAUACUGACGCUCAUGCACGAAAGCGUGGGGAGCAAAACAGGAUUAGAUACCCCUGGUAGUCCACGCCCUAAACGAUGUCAACUAGUUGUUGGGGGAUUCAUUUCCUUAGUAACGUAGCUAACGCGUGAAGUUGACCNCCUGGGGGAGUACGGUCGCAAGAUUAAAACUU